UCUAACUAACUAAAUUGAUAAACUUGCUAGCCAGCUAAAGACAUAUAGCUAAUUAUUAUUAUUACAUUUUUCCAGGCACUUGAUCAUGUUUCACUCCAUUGUAUUGGCUUGGCAGGAGAAAACAGUCCUACCCUACUCGUUUGGCGGUAAGACAUUUGAACAACAUCUGAUGAAAAACAUAGGAAAUGCAGCCAGCUGUGUUCUGUUAAAUCUAGGCUUGCUAGCCAGCCAAGUUAUUUGUGCAUUCUGUUGAUGAGUCUGUUUUAAUAGCUAGCUGCAUGCAAUGUCUGUUUACCUAGCUAACUUUUGCUAAUUUUCUCCUGCCACUUUCCCUUCCCCUAUUGUGUUGCACCAUUGUAGUUGGUGUUACUAGUUAAAAUUAGAGACUACAUUUUUCUAUUCUAGAAACAGCAGGGCUUUAAACUUCAGAACCCAGUUCCUACAUUUGAAUAUCCAUUUUUUUUUUAUCAAACAAAACUAAACUACAUUUUAUCUCUGGGACCCUCAGGAUGACAAAUGUGAGCAAGAUUACUGAAUAUUGACAGACAUACCACCCUGACACCACACAGAUGUAAAGAACUUGUUGUUAACCUCCCAGCCACCAGGAUAAUCACCAUAUCCCAGGAUAUAAUCCAGGAGAAAUAGAUUCACCCAUGUUAUUGUUUAUCAUGCAGAUUUGUCAGGACAUUGUAAUUUAUGAAGCUCAUUCUAGAAUAGAGACGUGAUUUCUGUCCCAGGGGAUUGCACUGUGUGCACGUCUUCAAUUUUGACCACAAUUAGAUGAAUUAGGUGUUAGUGAAAGGGUGGAACAAAAACCUGUAAACUCUUGUCCUGUGUAUAAACAAAACCUAUGGCUGUCAUGACUAAAUUUGCCCCCAUGUACUGAACAAGUUUAUGAAUGUUGGAGGUGAAUCUCCUUGAGAUAUCCCUUACUUGGGGUUUACUUAUUUUGUGCAAUGGGCUGUGUUUUAAGGACUCGUGCACAGAGGAAAACCAAUAUGUAUUUUUUUAUGUAUUCAAAAUUACAGGUGUUGAUGUCUCCACAUUUCUGGUUUGAGGCUUGGGCAUCUGGUGACUGCAGUUCAUCUGUCUAAUCCCCUGCAAGGAGAGAGAAAGGCAUCAAUAAUAUUACAAUGCUGUAUUCAUUUCAUUGUUUGAU
rnacentral:lncRNA from 1 species